GCCCGCCUAGUCCAACUGGUAGAGGCUCGCGGCCUAGACCCGCGCUGUUCCCGGUUCGAGUCCGGGGGCGGGCA
rnacentral:tRNA from 1 species